rnacentral:rRNA from 1 species
GACGAACGCUGGCGGCGUGCUUAACACAUGCAAGUCGAACGGAAAGGCCCUGCUUUUGUGGGGUGCUCGAGUGGCGAACGGGUGAGUAACACGUGAGUAACCUGCCCUUGACUUUGGGAUAACUUCAGGAAACUGGGGCUAAUACCGGAUAGGAGCUCCUGCUGCACGGUGGUGGUUGGAAAGUUUCGGCGGUUGGGGAUGGACUCGCGGCUUAUCAGCUUGUUGGUGGGGUAGUGGCUUACCAAGGCUUUGACGGGUAGCCGGCCUGAGAGGGUGACCGGCCACAUUGGGACUGAGAUACGGCCCAGACUCCUACGGGAGGCAGCAGUGGGGAAUAUUGCACAAUGGGCGGAAGCCUGAUGCAGCAACGCCGCGUGCGGGAUGACGGCCUUCGGGUUGUAAACCGCUUUCGCCUGUGACGAAGCGGGAGUGACGGUAAUGGGUAAAGAAGCACCGGCUAACUACGUG